GGUCCAGGCAGAAGAAGAACAUCAUGGCUUCAAAACCUAAGGGACUGGUUUGGACAAAACUCAGCAGCACUUUUUCAUGUGGCUGUUGACAAAAAUAGGAUUGCCAACAUGAUCUCCAGUGUCUGAUGAUGGAUAUGGCACAAGAAGAAGAAGAAAAAGCCAUUCUAUCCUGUUUAAAAGUGAAAGGGCCAGAGGAAAAGAGAAGAGAAACAUCUGACGUUAUCAACCUUCCGAGUAGGAGGCAAGACCACUAGACCACCACACUGCUCAAUGGUUCAACAACAAGCUUCUAACAACUGAAAGACAGAGUCAGUUUAUUGCCGACCUUGGAAGGAUCGAAAGCUGAGUCAGCCUUGAGCCUGGUGAGAUCUGAACUGCCGAACUGCUGGCAGCCGGUGAUCAGCAGAAGUAGCCUGCAGUACUGUACUCUAACCACUGUGCCACCAUAGCUCUCUAUCAAUCAAUGAUGUAGAUUGUAUAAUUAAACUAUUUUAGAACUUUUCUAAAAGUUCCAAAAAGUCACAGCCUUGCCAUGAAUCUUUUACUUUGCAAAUCCUGUCUGUCUGUCCUAAUGAUUCAGAAAUUAUUUGCAAUUAUUCCUAAUUAUUUCAGAAAUCCAGGCAGCCAUAGUUUGUUUUCUCCCAUUUGAAGGCAGGAAAUUAACCCUGAUCUAUUGCUGCAUAAGAAAUUUGCCAGCUUGUGUGGCCAAAUAAUGUUCAGGAGUCCAUGGGGAUUGCUCAGCUUCAGCUUUCUCAGGACUGAGAAAGCGUCUUUUGUAAUAAUACAUUAUUUCUGAAUAAACUGUGAUUUGUAAACAAGCCUAUUUAAUUCAUAAACCAGCCCUUGUGAGAUUCUCUUUUUUUCUUUUGUUUUCAUUCUUUUGAAGAUGUCUUUUCACUAGCUGAUUUAAACCAUUAAAACAUUCUCUGACUCAAGAACAGCUGCAAAAGUUCUUCCAUUUCCCACUUCUAACUCAUGUUGGCUCAUAACCAAAGCCAAAUUCCUAGCAAGGCCAAAAGCAGAGAAGAGGCUACAAGAACAAGAUGGUGUUCUUAUUCUAAUAAGGCAGGUGAAAGGUGGCCCAGCUUUUAAUGAAAACACAACAGCAAUGCAUUUCCAGAGAUGGCUCACAUUUGUUUGGUCUCUCUUAAUUUUUCUGGAAAAGUCAUUAUCAAGAAAAAGAAGAAAAUGUUAACAAUCCUUGCCAGUGACUGUUGCUUAUAAUGCUGUUCUGACCAAAUCGUUUAAAAAGAUAUGCUAUCUAAUGUGGGCUUCUCCAUGACCCCAAAUAAAAUUAAGCUCUGUGAAAUAUUUUUGUCCUUGUAUUGCCUCUACAAGGCGACUUCUUUGUUUUAUUCAGAAAUAUUGAAUAAGUGCAGACCUGGGUGGUCAAAACAAUAGUGCAAUAUCAGAACAGGGAGAAUUAACCUUGAAAUGUUGGAGAGGCUAGAAUGUUUUUUUCCAAACAAAUUACUCUGAGAAAUUUCUUAGAGGCAAUUAAUUUUGGCCUAUCUUUAUUUAUGUAUUUGAAAUCUCCUUGAAGACAAAUAUCUUCCCAAGGCAGCUUCCAGCAGAAAAAUGGAAACAUAUUUUUUCUAUUAUUAUUUUUUUAAAAAAAAAUUUUAACAGGAGCCGUUAUGAAAACAAACCUAAAAAGUCACCCUGACAUAUAAAUGUAAUCCUGUCAAUUACCAUAAAAUAAAUUUAAACUAGUGAAGAUAAGACACCAUAACUGUUCUAAGAAAAAGCAAUAUGAGGCAAGGAGGAAUCUGGUAGAAUCUAUUCAAUCUGGCAAAAUGUAUUAAAAGGUGCAAGUUUGUCAGCUUUCAGCUCACAAAAUCUUAUGCCUUUAAAUUAAAUUAGUGAGUCUUAAAAAUACUACUAGACUCCUUCUGAGUUUGGGCUACCAUAAGUUAACAAACUUUCCUCCCAAACUACAAAGUAUUAAUUUCUUAAUGAAAGAUGUUAAAUGGCAGGUCCCAUAUCAAUCUUCAAGGAAAGAUGAAUAUUUCUUUAUACUGUAAUAUUUUGAACCUAGAGAAGAAGUGCUAGAUUGUCUUCUUAAGGUCGGUCACUAUGGCUGCUAGUAGCCUGGAAACUUCUAUCCAAGUCCAUGGAUAUGUCAUGAAUGUAUGAGUUAUGAGUCAUAACACAUAUGAAUGGCCAGCAAGGUAGAGCCCCACAUUGUAUGACUGAACUGAUGGCUUACCCAUGUACCUUGAUAGGAGAACACUGGAAAGGAAUGCUGUUGGUGGGGAAGAAGGGAAGAAAGUAAGCAGAGAUCCAGAAGGCAACAGUGGAAUAGUAAAUUUAAGAAAUAAAAAGAAUCCAAGAAAAUCUCUGUGUUCUAGGAAGGAGCAGGGCCAAAGAAUUGAGGAAUUCAAAAGAAAGGGUGUGGCUCAACAGAGGAGAAGUCUUGGAAGAAACAGAAAGGGAACUUGAGAUGGAAAACCUGGUAUGAAUUAGGGGCAAACUUUGAGGCACAGCCUAUGAGGCUUUUAUUUAAGAGUGGAAAAUGGCUCAAACUUUCCCAGCAGGGAAUCCGAGGUUGUGAAAGAAGAUUCUUCAGUUCUGGGAAUAAUAGAGCCUACACCAUACCAAGUUGAUGCAGGAUUCUGUCUCCUCAAUUCUUUGAAAAUGCACGCUGCAGUGGAAAACUACUUUUUUAAAAUAAAUAAUUGGGAGAAUGGGACGGAGACACUACGGGAGAUCUUGAGAUAUCAUCAGCUUCAAGGAGGACCUAACCCUGAACAGCAUUUUGCUGAAUAGAUGCCAGUGUUCAAAAACAAGAGAUUCUUCUGACCUUUUGGAGAUGUUAGCAACUCACCCAGCAUUGUGUCAUCUGCAGAUUUGCUGAGCCUCCCUUCUACCAAAUGGUGAAGACCAACGGACCUUCCUGAGCCCCGGGUGUCCAAGUGUGGACAUGUACAUAUAUGAAAUACAAUCCAAAUUGAACACAGCUGCUGUUAUUAAUUAUAAACACAAUCUAUAAUCCUCGAUCUUCAUAAAAACUUGCAGUUUUACCAAAAAAAAUUGCAUAAUGAAACUGUUUCCUUCAAAACAUUAAGCAGCUUGUAAUGACUACAUUGCAAUCAAAAUGUUAAUAACAGAGAUGAAAUUUCGUGUAGGGGAGCCUUCAAGUCUUCACUACUGGCAACUGCAAGGAAUAGUCCUUUAAGUUUUCUCCAUAAGAAUUUGGAACUGAUUUGUCCCAGCAAUUUUUCCAAGGCUAAGAGAGACUGACUGGCCCACAAUUACCAAAUGGUUUUGUGCCUCAGGCCAGACUAGAACUCACCUUCUGGUUUUCAGCUGAUGCCUUAACUGUGCCACCAAACAGGUAUUCAAAAGUUAAAGACUUAAAAACUUUAAGUCAUUAAUUGCUGUAACGAUUUCUAUAACAAUCCUUUUAUGGCCUUACCCUAACUGCAUAAAACAGAGAUACUUCAACUAAAA